CUUCUCCUUCUUUGUUUACUAUGCGAGGAAGUGGCUGUCUUCUCAUGGGACACUAGACCAUCUGUUAAGCAGCCAGACAGUAUCAGCAACAGAGCUGUUCUGUCAGAUUGAAAAUGGCAAGACCUUGUUUUCUAGUAUUGUUUCCUAUAUCAUGCAAGAAUGAUUGACAACACUUACUCAAACGGAGCCAAAGUCAUGCCAGAAAGAGGAGCAUGGAUGCAGGCAGCCAGUUGUUGCUGAAAACUGUCACUCUUCCAGCUUUGAGUGCUCUGAGUACUCAAGGGCAUGUGGGAAACGAAGGACUCAGUAAGGAUCAGCAGAGAGAGGCAUUUGAGUGCACCAGAAGUUUUUUAACAUGUGCUGAGAAUGGAGAACGUCUGAGUAGUAACAGCUUUUGUAGUGGUGUAGCAUUCUCCUGCUCCAGAACCCUGCACGCUCAGUUCUUCCAGUCCACAGAGCUCCCGCUGAUUUUAUAGAAGAUGAGAGUCCUCAAAGCUGCCUCAUAGGUGCUGCAAAGGAUGUGGAUGGCUUGUCCUUCUCCAGGAUGUGGGGAGAAGCAGAGCAUUAUUUGUCUCUCUCCAUUUUAUCAUUAAACAAGAAUCAGCUAGGCCAUCAGCAUCAAAUUAUCUCUUCAAAGACCUCUUCAGAGAAAUCCAUGCACCAUUCUAGAGACUGUCAAGAAGUGAUUUGCCCUGCCAGGCUUCUGGGAAAGCAAAAUAUCAAGGAUCAGACAAUGGAAC
ensembl:lncRNA